AGAGCGAACGCUGGCGGCAGGCCUAACACAUGCAAGUCGAGCGCGUGUAGCAAUACACGAGCGGCAGACGGGAGAGUAACACGUGGGAACGCGCCCUUCGGUUCGGAAUAACUCAGGGAAACUUGAGCUAAUACCGGAUACGCCCUUACGGGGAAAGAUUUAUUGCCGAAGGAACGGCCCGCGUCCGAUUAGCUAGUUGGUGAGGUAACGGCUCACCAAGGCGACGAUCGGUAGCUGGUCUGAGAGGAUGACCAGCCUCACUGGGACUGAGACACGGCCCAGACUCCUACGGGAGGCAGCAGUGGGGAAUAUUGGACAAUGGGCGCAAGCCUGAUCCAGCCAUGCCGCGUGGAUGAUGAAGGCCUUAGGGUUGUAAAGUCCUUUUAACGGGGAAGAUAAUGACGGUACCCGUAGAAUAAGCCCCGGCUAACUUCGUGCCAGCAGCCGC
rnacentral:rRNA from 1 species